AUUGAACGCUGGCGGCAGGCUUAACACAUGCAAGUCGAGCGAGCGGCGGACGGGUGGGCAAUGUCUGGGAAUAUGCCUGGUGGAGGGGGAUAACUACUGGAAACGGUAGCUAAUACCGCAUACCAUCAGAUGUGCCCAGUUGGGAGUAGCUAGUAGGUGGGGUAAAGGCUAACCUAGGCGACGAUCCCUAGCUGGUCUGAGAGGAUGACCAGCCACACUGGAACUGAGAAACGGUCCAGACUCCUACGGGAGGCAGCAGUGGGGAAUAUUGGACAAUGGGCGCAAGCCUGAGGCAGCCAUGCCGCGUGUGUGAAGAAGGUCUUCGGGUUGUAAAGCACUUUCAGCGAGGAGGCGUUACUCGCAGAAGAAGCACCGGCUAACUCCGUGCCAGCAGCCGCGGUAAUUC
rnacentral:rRNA from 1 species